rnacentral:rRNA from 1 species
CAAUAGCGUAUAUUAAAGUUGUUGCGGUAAAAAGCUCGUAGUUGGAUUUCUGUUGAGAACGAUCGGUCCAUACCAUGUAUGCGCAUCUGAUUCGAUCUCGGCAUCCUCUCGAAAGGCAGUUCUGCGCUUGAUUGCGUGGGCUGAAUCUCGGGACUUUUACUUUGAGGAAAUUAGAGUGUUCACGGCAGGCAAUCGCCAGAAUACAUUAGCAUGGAAUAAUAGAAAAGGACUUCAACCUCUUCUGUUGGUCUGAGGGGCUGUAGUAAUGAUAAUAGGGAUAGUUGGGGGCAUUAGUACUUGACUGUCAGAGGUGAAAUUCUCCGAUUUGUUAAAGACUAACUUAUGCGAAAGCAUUUGCCAAGGAUGUUUUCAUUAAUCAAGAACGAAAGUUAGGGGAUCAAAGACGAUUAGA